GGUGUAGGCGGUGAAGUAAGUCGGAUGUGAAAGCCCAGGGCCCAACCCUGGAACUGCAUUCGAUACUGCUUCACUAGAGUCCCGGAGGGGAAGGCGGAAUUCCCGGUGUAGAGGUGAAAUUCGUAGAUAUCGGGAGGAACACCAGUGGCGAAGGCGGCCUUCUGGACGGUGACUGACGCUCAGACCCGAAAGCGUGGGGAGCAAACAGGAUUAGAUACCCUGGUAGUCC
rnacentral:rRNA from 1 species